rnacentral:rRNA from 1 species
GACGAACGCUGGCGGCGUGCUUAACACAUGCAAGUCGAACGGUAAGGCCCUUCGGGGUACACGAGUGGCGAACGGGUGAGUAACACGUGGGUGAUCUGCCCUGCACUUCGGGAUAAGCCUGGGAAACCGGGUCUAAUACCGGAUAGGACCACUGCCUGCAUGGGUGGUGGUGGAAAGCUUUUGCGGUGUGGGAUGGGCCCGCGGCCUAUCAGCUUGUUGGUGGGGUGAUGGCCUACCAAGGCGACGACGGGUAGCCGGCCUGAGAGGGUGACCGGCCACACUGGGACUGAGAUACGGCCCAGACUCCUACGGGAGGCAGCAGUGGGGAAUAUUGCACAAUGGGCGCAAGCCUGAUGCAGCGACGCCGCGUGAGGGAUGACGGCCUCCGGGUUGUAAACCUCUUUCAGCACCGACGAAGCGCAAGUGACGGUAGGUGCAGAAGAAGGACCGGCCAACUACGUGCCAGCCGCCGCAGUAA